rnacentral:rRNA from 1 species
UACGUAGGGCGCAAGCGUUGUCCGGAAUUAUUGGGCGUAAAGAGCUCGUAGGCGGUCUGUCGCGUCUGCCGUGAAAACCCAUGGCUUAACUGUGGGCUUGCGGUGGAUACGGGCGGACUUGAGGUAGGUAGGGGAGAAUGGAAUUCCCGGUGUAGCGGUGAAAUGCGCAGAUAUCGGGAGGAACACCGGUGGCGAAGGCGGUUCUCUGGGCCUGACCUGACGCUGAGGAGCGAAAGCGUGGGGAGCGAACAGG